UACGUAGGGACCAAGCGUUGUUCGGAUUUACUGGGCGUAAAGGGCGCGUAGGCGGCGCGGUAAGUCACUUGUGAAAUCUCUGAGCUUAACUCAGAACGGUCAAGUGAUACUGUUGUGCUAGAGUGCGGAAGGGGCAAUCGGAAUUCUCGGUGUAGCGGUGAAAUGCGUAGAUAUCGAGAGGAACACCUGAGGUGAAGACGGGUUGCUGGGCCGACACUGACGCUGAUGCGCGAAAGCCAGGGGAGCAAACGGG
rnacentral:rRNA from 1 species